rnacentral:rRNA from 1 species
UACGUAGGGUGCAAGCGUUGUCCGGAAUUAUUGGGCGUAAAGAGCUCGUAGGCGGUCUGUCGCGUCUGCUGUGAAAACCCAGGGCUCAACCCUGGGCCUGCAUUCGAUACGGGCAGACUAGAGUUCGGUAGGGGAGACUGGAAUUCCUGGUGUAGCGGUGAAAUGCGCAGAUAUCAGGAGGAACACCGGUGGCGAAGGCGGGUCUCUGGGCCGAAACUGACGCUGAGGAGCGAAAGCGUGGGGAGCAAACAGG